rnacentral:sRNA from 1 species
UCAGAGAUUGAGCAGGAACCUGUUGUUUCAGGAGUCAGUGACCUUUGAGGAUGUGGCUGUUUACUUCACCCAGAAUCAAUGGGCCAGCCUCGACCCUGCGCAGAGGGCCCUGUACGGGGAGGUGAUGCUGGAGAAUUAUGCAAAUGUGGCUUCUCUGGUAGCGUUUCCAUUCCCCAAACCUGCUCUGAUCUCCCACCUGGAGAGAGGGGAAGCACCAUGGGGCCCAGAUCCCUGGGACACCGAGAUUCUGAGAGGCAUCAGUCAAGGUGGUGAGUCCUGGAUCAAAAAUGAAGGGCUAGUUAUAAAGCAGGAAGCCUCUGAAGAAACAGAGUUGCACAGAAUGCCAGUAGGAGGACUUCUCAGGAACGUUUCUCAGCACUUUGAUUUUAAAAGGAAGGCACUGAAGCAGACUUUCAAUCUAAAUCCAAAUCUGAUACUUCGAGGUGGAAUGAAGUUCUAUGAAUGUAAAGAAUGUGGGAAAAUCUUCCGAUAUAACUCAAAGCUUAUUCGGCAUCAGAUGAGUCAUACUGGGGAAAAGCCCUUUAAGUGUAAGGAGUGUGGCAAAGCUUUCAAGUCCAGCUAUGACUGUAUUGUACAUGAGAAAAACCACAUUGGAGAAGGGCCCUAUGAAUGUAAGGAGUGUGGCAAAGGUUUGAGUUCCAACACAGCCUUGACUCAACAUCAGAGGAUCCACACUGGAGAGAAACCCUAUGAAUGUAAAGAGUGUGGAAAGGCUUUCCGUAGGAGUGCGGCAUACCUGCAGCAUCAGAGAUUACACACGGGAGAGAAACUCUAUAAAUGUAAGGAAUGUUGGAAAGCUUUUGGUUGUAGGUCACUUUUUAUUGUCCAUCAGAGAAUUCAUACUGGGGAGAAACCUUACCAAUGUAAGGAGUGUGGCAAAGCCUUCACCCAGAAAAUAGCCUCCAUUCAGCAUCAGAGAGUUCACACUGGGGAGAAGCCUUAUGAAUGUAAGGUGUGUGGGAAAGCCUUCAAAUGGUAUGGAAGUUUUGUUCAGCAUCAAAAAUUGCACCCUGUGGAGAAGAAGCCAGUCAAGGUCCUUGGGCCAUCCCUGGUCAGUCCCCAGUGCCCCUCUCCAGC